ensembl:lncRNA
CAAAAAUACAGAUUUCCGAUUGUUAUGAUAACUUGAAAUCGGCCCUAAUUAAUCAGCCAUUCCGAUUAAUCGGUCGACCUCUAACCUAAACCAAAGCUUCCUGGGUCUGUUCUCUUCUCUCUGACCGUGGUGGACACCCUACUGAGCUUGUUCUCCCGGGAGACACCUCCCUCUUGGGCUAGCACCUCACCAGGCACCACAUCUGUCUGCUAGUCCAGAUCGCCCACUGGUCUUACAACCGCCUCCUCUGGCCUGUGGUGGUUCUGACUGGGCUAGACCACUACUGGACUGAGACCACUUCGCUCUGGGGCGAAGUUAGAGAUCUAGGAUCAGCUUCCCAGUCUCCCCAAUCCUGGCGGUAACCAUUAGCGGGCAAAAUGCUAAACUCACCCAGCAUCUCCAUCUAGGGGCAACUUCACCCUACACCAUGAGGACUCCAUGCUGGGAUCUAAAGAUCGUGUUCUUAGCGGUCAUCUCUCUGCUGUGGAUUGUGGCCCUGCUCUAUGUGUUCCUGGUGUCUGGGGUCAUUCUAGUGUUGCGGAACCAGUCUUUUCACCAGCUGCAUCAGUGCUGGGUGUUCACUAGCGCUCAUACCUCAGUUGGCCGAAGUGCUGCUACUGACUGUGGCCUGUGCAGUGCUGUACGUUCAUAGCCACACAGGGUCUACUAUGGGGAUCCACAGGGGUGGAAGGAUGCUCACAUGGAUUCAUCCUCCAUUUUGGAGUCACACUGGCAGGCAGUGCAGAGUAGAGGUGUUUCGCCAGGUGUUGUGGAUUAUCCUCAGAGUGGGCUCUGUUCCUGGUGUUCCUGCCUGUGUCUGGUCUUCCAAGUUGGGAUCCCUAGAUACCUGGGGCUGAAUGAUCCCUGGCUCUGUUUACUCAAUAGCUUCCUUCUUGGGGUUGUGUUGUGCGUGUGCUGCCUGGCUAGCAUUUCAGCUAGCUCAGGGCUCAGUGACUACUGACAGACCUACUGCACCACAUGAUGCUCUGGAGGAGCUACACUUGUCCCCUAAUGCUUAACGCCACACUGAGCUGUAACUGAUGCCUUAAGGGCCACUCUGUAAGUCCAGUGACAAGACAAACAAUGGAGUCCAUAUAUUGUAGGUCCAUUGUUUUUUUUGUCAUUAUCAGGCGAGAGAGCUGUACAAAUCUUAACAGGGUAUUUAUAAAUCACACUCUUGGUCUCGACUUGUAAGAUUGUCGUAUCUCAUGAAAUAUUAAAUAUUACACAACGCAAGGUUUGGUUCUGGGUACCGAGAAUAAUAAUAAGACCGACUGGUCAGUUGUCACUCAUGUUAACUUGUUUUUAACAUGAACACAAAAAUAUCUGCAUAUUCACAUAGUGAUGUGUAGGCCAUUGUUGUAUUUUGGAUAAUGAUGUAUACAAUGUAAUGAGUUAAUUUUAUGAUGUACAGUUCUGUUUUUUGUACUCUAGUUAGUCUAAACUUUGACUGGCUGAUGUACAGCUAAUUGCCUAUGAGGGAUAAUAAAGAUAAUCUAUUCUACUUUAAGCUAUCAGUGAUCGUCUACGACAACACAUGACAUCAGUCUCGACUCCCAAAGAAAAGAAGAUUCCCGACACCAAUUGUGACACUACAGAACUUUACUUGAACGUGAUCCAAGUUCAUUGUUUAUACAGUGUAUAUUUACAAGAUGUGAAAUAAGGGCGGGAGGAAAAACACAACACGAGAUAUACAACUGAGGUAUUCGCUAAAAGCAAGUACAGGUAUGUCGUCAUCAUUUACUAGUAUAUAUCAAUUAUGAUCCACGAUUAAAGACGCAGUGUCCUCUGCUUAAAAAACAUUUUAUAUCACAACAUGAGGUAGGAGAACAGUGUCUCGUUUCAUGCAACAAAAAAAAGUCUCAAUCACACUGUAUCGUUGUUGGCAACAUGGUAUGCAAUGAUCAUACAUAGACACUCACUGCCAUACAGGUUUCUGAAGAAUAAAAAGCCAUAAAAAGAUAGUUUAAAGAAGAAAUGUUAUGAUUUGUCAGGUGUAGCCUAAUAACUCUAAACUGAAAACAUGGCAUGUUUAUCCCAGGCACACAUAAUAUUAAGAACCAUUUUGUGAAAUCAUUAACAAGAUGGGACCUAGCUAGGACAGGGUGUAAUGUCCAGGUCCCACGCUUGUAGAUAAGGG